rnacentral:lncRNA from 1 species
AGGUUCAAGGAGUUCAGCCAAACUAGACAAUUUCUUGCCUUGAGGUAAUUCAGACUUUUAUAUAUCUUCUCUUAUUCUCUCUCUCUCUCUCUCUCUCUCUCUCUCUCUCUCUCUCUCUCUCUCUCUCUCUCUCUCACAGAUGGAGCUUCCAAAAUCUUGUUUUCAGCAGCCAACAUCUGAAUGUUUUCAUUGAUUUGGAACAAAAACAUGCACAUCCUCAUAGUUUGACACAAAUUAUGAAUUCCGAUUAGGGUUUUGCAUUCUAUACUUAUGAUUCUACCAUACAUAUGUCUUUCAAUUAUGUCAAAAAUCUAUUUUAUGGUAUAGACGAUUAAUUAUGACCUCUCCUCUAUCCAAAUUAUUCAUGAAAUUAACUUGGUCAAAAUUUUAGAUUUUUAUAUAUUAAUCUGUGUUGUUUCUUCAAUUAUAAUUUGAGGAUAAUUUUCUGCAUAUAUAGCUUCCAAAAUAUCUUGUAAAUUAUGUAAUUAUUUGUUGUGUUACAUAUAGAAUAUUAAGGAAAGCUAUAAAUCAACCAAACCCGAAAUCCCAUAUGAACACUUUCGAUCUGAUUUUCUAGGGAUACAGCUCGACGCUAAAACCCAGCUGAAAUCAACUCUGGAAGACGAUCAAUUGAUUAUCUUACUCUCGUUGUUUACAGGUGUCUUUGAUGUUAAUUAAUCUCAUUUACAUUAGAACAAAGAUAGGUUAAAACCGAUUAAUUUUUUAUGUAGUUAUAAUCUUAGAUUACAUAUCUAUGGUGAAUAUUUUUUAAUAAAAUUUCGCUCAUCCCGGCGAAAUUUCUUGCUUUGCAGUGAGACAUAAGUUUCUGGAUUAAGAAACUGGUAGUAAGUUUUGAUUCUUCUGUUCAUGAAUCAUGAUUAGCAUAAAAGUGGAAGCUAUCGAGGUGAUGUCUUGGGUUACAAUUUACCCUAAUCUCUGAAACUUUUGAUCGUUGCAGUAGCUACUUCCAACAUUUGACUUCACCUUUUUGUAAAGGUAACUUUAUUUUGAUGAUCAAAUUGACAAAUUGUGAGAAACCCAUUACUGUAAGUAUUGCUGACUUUAACUAUUUUCUGCAAUUUCCACCACCUCAAACACUCCAAAUCACAUGCUUUUAAGGACUUUAAUUAGAAUCCAAGGCAGUGGAGAAAUGAUUUAUAAACUUAACGACUUCCUUUUUUCCCCACUUUUGGGCCUCACAUUGAGUGCACCAAAGGCAAAGGCAAAGGCAUCAUACACAUGUGAUGAGACGAGACCUUAGUGUAUAGAAGUCCUUUUAACCAAUUCUCUCAUUUUAAAAUAAAGGGUCGAUUUUGGUACACUCAUACGGCACAUGUGUAAAUUCUAGUAUACUCUGACGUACUUGAUUUAUUUUGUCACCUGACCCCAAACCUUGCACCAUCUUAAUUAUUAUUUUCCUUGUUAUUAACUUAAUAGAUAAACUUAAAUCACAACAUUGUCUAUUGAAAACUGUCUUGUACACGUUGAUUAUAUACCUUUAGGUAUGGUUUCAGCCCCCAAAAUUGGGGUGUGGGGAGGGGAAUAGGAAAGGGGUGGGUUAGAGCUAUAAUGUGGGUUGGACUCAAGCAUGCGUCAACCAUCCUUGAAGUCGGUUUAUGUAUAUUUUGUUUCUUUUUAAAAGAGAUGUAGAUUCGUAGAAUACACAAUUAAUUAUGCAGUAUAACACACAUGUGAAAGAGAAUGAGCUCCACAAAAGAAAAUGUUACUUUUACUACAUAUUUUGUAGUGUUGAGGAGGCUAGCUUGCCCUAUUAAACAAUUAAUGAUGAUCUUUCACUUUGAAUUUGUCAAUAAUGAAGAAACCCUAAAGAAUUUCCUUGAUUACAGAAGCUUCCUAAAUCUAGUUUGGGGAAUUCUCAAGUAGAAUAUGUUGCGUGGUCUAAUUAUCAUCAUUGUUUAUCAUCAUAGUAAUUAAUAGUAAUCAUCACCAUCAUCAUCAUCUAAAUCUUUACCAUAUCUAAUUCAAAUGGCAGAUGGAGAUGGGGUCCAAAGUGGGAGAAGAAGAAUUUGUUUGGGGGCACCAAAGAGUGUGCGUGAGUGUCGUGUGUUUACAAAUUAUCUUGAGUUGUAAGAUAUGUACCCCAAUUGUCUCCCUCUUGCACUACACAAAGCUUUAUCAAGGACACACAAAGUGCCAAAACAAAACCCCCACACACUUGAAGAUUUUUCAAUCCAUCGGAAGGAAUUGGAUGUUGCUUUGCUGUGGCAACUACCAAAGGGACCCAGAAACCCUUGACUUGCCUCCAAAUUCAAACCCCUCCACUCCUAUUUCUUCUCAACUUUCCUCCUUUUAAUAUUUACACUUUGUGGGACUCGAUUUUCAGCCAUGUAUUGGGGAUCUCGAGGAUUUUUUUCUUCUUUGUGCCUCAAUAUUUGGGGGAUUUGAUUGAGAUGUGUUUAUAAAGUUGAACACUAACCUUAAGUUGUUAUCAAAGCUACCCCAUUUUCUAUAUGAAAAAAGAAUGGAAGUAUUAUUUUGUAUUUGGAAUUACAGAGAGAUGAAAUUCAAAUUGCACGACAAGGAAUUAUUCAGAAUAAUAAGUGCUCUUCACACUUUAGGCAGGGAGAAGGAAUUCAAAACUGCAUGAAAAUCUAGGGCAGAAAAUGAACAAGUUGAGCUCGAGUGCGUGGACAAAUGGUUAGUCACAAGAGCUACAGAUUUUUCGAAAUGGAGAAAAACAUCCAUAUAACAGGAUGCUAUAGGUGCUAGAUUAGGUUUUCAAUCCAUCGUCGAAAAGAACUAAUUAUCCUAUCAAAUAACUUAGAAAUUUAUAUCACAGUAGGAUAUGUCCCUCCUAAUUGUACUAGUCGAGUCCACACAUUAUUAUCUUUCAUGUUUGGUGCAUUAUUGAUCACCUAUGAUCUAGCACAUAUCAUACUCGUAUGUUAAAUGACUCGAGUCAAAAAGCUCUUAGGUCAUCUCCAUGGAGGGCUAAACGUAGCCCUUGACUAUGUUUUAGCUCUCAAAAUUAAUAUUUUAAGGACUACUUUAGCACUAAAUCUUUUCAUCUCAAAUCAUGUAAGCUAUAUAUUUUUCUUCCUAUUUUAUUAAUUUUUGGGGCUAAACUUAACUUGUCGUGGGGUUACAUGUUGUCUGCUUUGAGGCCAAACUUAGCCUAAUUCUUUUAGCCGAUUCCCUUUAACCCUUUGGUUGGAAACUAAUUUUACCAAUUUUAAGGCUAAAUGUGGCCUAAAGCAUUUUGGCUAGAGAUGACUUUAUAACAGUGCGUAGCACAAUAUCCCAAAUCAAUUGUAUAUUGGCACGUAAAACCACAUAUGACUUUGACUGUUAAAUCUCAUCAAUAGUAAUAAGUGUUUAAUAUACCAGUAUUGGUGAAAAUCCUAUUAGACGGGGGAGGGUGAAGAAGCUAGGACAGAAGGGUAGAGUUCA